AGGCGAUUUGUAGUAAUAAGGUGGUGGGGGUGGUGACUCGUAUUUGUAGGGAGGUGGUGGAGGGGAUUCAUACUUGUAUGGAGGCGGUGGAGGUGACUCAUACUUGUACGGAGGUGGAGGUGGGGAUUCAUACUUGUAAGGUGGUGGUGGUGGUGACUCGUAUUUGUACGGAGGUGGAGGUGGGGAUUCAUACUUGUAAGGUGGUGGUGGUGGUGACUCGUAUUUGUAGGGAGGUGGUGGUGGCGACUCAUACUUGUAUGGAGGCGGUGGAGGAGAUUUGUAAUAGUAAGGUGGUGGUGGUGGUGACUCGUAUUUAUAUGGAGGUGGUGGCGGGGAUUCAUAUUUGUAGGGAGGUGGUGGAGGGGACUUGUAGUAGUAAGGUGGAGGAGGAGGCGAUUCAUACUUGUAGGGAGGUGGAGGUGGGGAUUCAUAUUUGUAUGGUGGGGGUGGCGGAGACUUGUAGUAAUAAGGUGGAGGGGGCGACUUGUAUUUGUAAACUGGGGGUGGCGGAGACUCGUAUUUGUAGACUGGUGGUGGCGGCGACUCAUACUUGUAUGGAGGCGGUGGAGGAGAUUUGUAAUAGUAAGGUGGUGGGGGUGGUGACUCGUAUUUGUAGGGAGGUGGUGGCGGGGAUUCAUACUUGUAGGGAGGUGGCGGCGGGGAUUUGUAGUAAUAAGGAGGUGGUGGUGGAGAUUCAUACUUGUACGGAGGAGGAGGUGGAGACUCGUACUUGUAUGGAGGUGGCGGCGGGGAUUUGUAGUAAUAAGGUGGUGGCGGGGGUGACUUGUAUUUGUAAACUGGCGGUGGUGGAGAUUCGUACUUGUAUGGAGGUGGCGGGGGGGAUUUGUAGUAAUAAGGUGGUGGUGGUGGAGAUUCAUACUUGUACGGAGGAGGAGGUGGAGACUCGUACUUGUAUGGAGGUGGCGGUGGGGAUUUGUAGUAAUAAGGUGGUGGCGGAGGUGACUUGUAUUUGUAAACUGGUGGUGGUGGAGAUUCAUACUUGUACGGAGGAGGUGGUGGCGACUCGUACUUGUAUGGUGGUGGUGGAGGGGACUUGUAGUAAUAAGGUGGAGGUGGCGGGGAUUCAUACUUGUAUGGAGGUGGUGGUGGUGACUCGUACUUGUAUG
rnacentral:lncRNA from 1 species